rnacentral:rRNA from 1 species
GACGAACGCUGGCGGCGCGCUUAACACAUGCAAGUCGAGCGAAGCGGCGGACGGGUGAGUAACACGUGAGUAACCUGCCUUAGACAUUGGGAUAGCCUCGGGAAACCGGGAUUAAUACCAAAUGGUCUAAGAUGGACUCGCGUCCCAUUAGCAAGUUGGUGAGGUAACGGCCCACCAAGGCGACGAUGGGUAGCCGGCCGGGGAGGAUGAACGGCCACAUUGGGACUGAGAAACGGUCCAAACUCUACGGGAGGCAACAGUGGGGAAUAUUGCACGAUGGGGGGAACUCUGAUGCAGGGAAGCCGCGUGAACGAAAAAGGCUUUCGAGGCGUAAAGUACUUUUAUAUGGGAAGCGGUACCAUAAGAAAAAGCCCCGGCUAACUACGUGCCAGCAGCCGCGGUAAUUC